rnacentral:rRNA from 1 species
GACGAACGCUGGCGGCGUGCUUAACACAUGCAAGUCGAACGGAAAGGCCCUGCUUGGAGGGGGCUCGAGGGGCGAAGGGGUGGGUAACGCGUGGGUGCUCGGCCCCAUACUUUGGGAGGGGCCUGGAAAACUGGGUAUGAUACUGGAUAGGAGAAUGAUGGAGGUGGUGUGGUGGAGAGAUUGGUUUCGGUAAUGGAUGAGCUCGCGGCCUAUCAGCUUGUUGGUGGGGUCAUGGCCUACCACGGCGUCGACGAGGCGGGGACCGGCGAGGGUGGACGGCCCCACUGGGACUGUGAGACGGCGCAGCCGCCUACGGGAGGCAGCAGGGGGGAAGAGGGCAAUAUGGGCGCAAGCCUGAUGCAGCGACGCCGCGUGGGGGCUGACGGCCUUCGGGUUGUAAACUCCUUUCAGCCAUGACGAAGCCCUGGUGGUGACGGUAGUGGGAGAAGAAGCACCGGCUAACUACGUG